GACGUAGGGUCCGAGCGUUGUCCGGAGUUACUGGGCGUAAAGGGCGCGUAGGCGGCUCCUUGCGUCCCACGUGAAAGCCCCUGGCUCAACCAGGGAGGGUCGUGGGAAACGGGGGAGCUGGAGGCAGCGAGAGGCUGGUGGAAUUCCCGGAGUAGUGGUGAAAUGCGUAGAGAUCGGGAGGAACACCGGUGGCGAAGGCGGCCAGCUGGCGCUGACCUGACGCUGAGGCGCGAAGGCGUGGGGAGCGAACGGGG
rnacentral:rRNA from 1 species